CACACUUGAAAUAUAAGUUCUAAGGUCUCAGUAUAGUUACAACGGCUGCCCCACCCUUCAAACCGAAACAUAUUACUGCUUCACGGCAGAAAUAGGCGGGGUGGUGGUACCUACCCGUGCGGACUCACAAGAGGUCCUACCACCAGUGAUUACGCAAAUUAUAAUUUUGCGGGUUUGAUUUUUAUUACACGAUGUUAUUCCUUCACCAUAGAAGUCAAUCGUGAUCAUUUGUUAAGUACGUAUUUCAACAGAAAAAUUGGUACCCGCCUGCAGGAUUCGAACACCGGUGCAUCGCUACAUACGAAUGCACCAGACGUCUCAUCCUUUAGGCCACGACGACUUCACAGCGUUAAGGACUAUUACUGUUGGCGUAGAGGCUUUUCCAGUAUCAACAGGAUAGGUGGGCGAGCAAAGGCUCAGCCAAGAGGUGUGGGAUUUGCUAACAGCUGCCCGAGCGCCUCCGAAGGACCCCUAACAACUCAAAAGCAACUGCUUCGCUAAUGAAUCUACUACAGGAUCGGAAUCGCGACAAACUGAGAAGAUCCGGCGAGGAACUUAGCGGGCUAAUGCAUGGGUUAGGUUGCACGUCGAACUAUUUGUCGAGUUCGACGAGUACGGCUACCAGGGUCCUUAGGCUGGCUCUUAGAGUUAGAGCUGAAGGCGUCUAAUGCAAUAAUUAUUGGAUCUGAUGGAUCUGGACGUGUCUAGGGCACGAUGAGAUGGUAUUCCUUACUUCUACCCUCCAUAUUUUCCAUGUAGAAUUUUUCCUCAUAAAAAAAUAAGUUUGAAAUGUCCUAAGUGUAGAAAAAUGUCCUAAGCGUAGAAAAAAAGAUUUAUUUUUGACUUUAAAUAAAAUUUCUAAAAACA